rnacentral:rRNA from 1 species
AUUGAACGCUGGCGGCAUGCUUUACACAUGCAAGUCGAACGGUAACAGGUUAAGCUGACGAGUGGCGAACGGGUGAGUAAUGCAUCGGAACGUGCCCGGUCGUGGGGGAUAACGCAGCGAAAGCUGCGCUAAUACCGCAUACGAUCUGAGGAUGAAAGCGGGGGACCGUAAGGCCUCGCGCGAUCGGAGCGGCCGAUGUCAGAUUAGGUAGUUGGUGGGGUAAAGGCUCACCAAGCCAACGAUCUGUAGCUGGUCUGAGAGGACGACCAGCCGCACUGGGACUGAGAAACGGCCCAGACUCCUACGGGAGGCAGCAGUGGGGAAUUUUGGACAAUGGGCGAAAGCCUGAUCCAGCAAUGCCGCGUGCAGGAAGAAGGCCUUCGGGUUGUAAACUGCUUUUGUACGGAGCGAAAAGGUCUCCUCUAAUACAGGGGGCUCGUGACGGUACCGUAAGAAUAAGCACCGGCUAACUACGUGCCAGCCGCCGCCGUAA